rnacentral:rRNA from 1 species
AGUUAUCCUGAUCGAAGACAGUGUCUGGCAGGCAGUUUGACUGGGGCGGUCGCCUCCUAAAAGAUAACGGAGGCGCUCAAAGGUUUGCUCAGAAUGGUUGGAAAUCAUUCGUAGCGUGUAAAGGCAUAAGCAAGCUUGACUGUGAGACUGACAAGUCGAGCAGGUACGAAAGUAGGACUUAGUGAUCCGGUGGUUCCGUAUGGAAGGGCCAUCGCUCAACGGACAAAAGCUACCCCGGGGAUAACAGGCUCAUCUCCCCCAAGAGUCCACAUCGACGGGGAGGUUUGGCACCUCGAUGUCGGCUCAUCGCAUCCUGGGGCUGUAGUCGGUCCCAAGGGUUGGGCUGUUCGCCCAUUAAAGCGGUACGCGAGCUGGGUUCAGAACGUCGUGAGACAGUUCGGUCCCUAUCCGUCGUGGGCGCAGGAAAUUUGAGAGGAUCUGUCCUUAGUACGAGAGGACCGGGAUGGACAUACCUCUGGUGUACCAGUUGUUCUGCCAAGAGCACCGCUGGGUAGCUACGUAUGGAUUAGAUAAUCGCUGAAAGCAUCUAAGUGAGAAACUAACCUCGAGAUGAGAUUUCCCAUUCGUCAGAAGUAAGACCCCUGAGAGACGAUCAGGUAGAUAGGCUAGAAGUGGAAGUGUAGUGAUGCAUGGAGCGGACUAGUACUAAUAGGUCGAGGACUUAACCAAG